UACGGAGGGUGCAAGCGUUAUCCGGAUUCACUGGGUUUAAAGGGUGCGUAGGUGGUUUUGUAAGUCAGUGGUGAAAGCCCGGAGCUUAACUCCGGAACUGCCAUUGAUACUGCUUAACUUGAAUCAACUUGAGGUGGAUGGAAUAUUACAUGGUAGCGGUGAAAAUGCUUAGAUAUGUAAAUAGAAACACCGAUUGCGAAAGGGCAGUUUUCACUAAAGGGUUUUGUAUUUUGACACUGAGGCACGAAAAGCGUGGGGAUCAAAACAGGGAAUUAGAAAA
rnacentral:rRNA from 1 species